rnacentral:rRNA from 1 species
UACGUAGGUGACAAGCGUUGUCCGGAAUUACUGGGCGUAAAGGGCUCGUAGGCGGCCAACUAAGUCAGACGUGAAAUCCCUCGGCUUAACCGGGGAACUGCGUCUGAUACUGGAUGGCUUGAGUUUGGGAGAGGGAUGCGGAAUUCCAGGUGUAGCGGUGAAAUGCGUAGAUAUCUGGAGGAACACCGGUGGCGAAGGCGGCAUCCUGGACCAACACUGACGCUGAGUGAGCGAAAGCCAGGGGAGCAAACGGG